GAGAACACAGCCUCUUGACUUUCCCCAAUAGGGUGUGAUAUGCAUAUGCAUACCAUUUCUGCGUAGAGUCUCCGCUCUAGACCAAACGCCCAUCUACCCAGGAAACGAAAUCUAUCUUGCACCAUUGAUCAGACGUCCGUUCUUAAUGCAUGCUGUGAGCCAACGGGACGAACGAAAGGCAAUCAACCCCCAUCCGCCAGCUGCACGGCAACAGGAGGUGGCGGGCAUAGAUUAAGCUGUCAUACGCACCUCUCUCCCGCUCACACAACGCAGACAAACUUACACCGUCAUUUCGCACCGACAUCCGCUCAGGCAGGAUCAUCAUCUGUCAGACAAGAUCCAAGAUCCCAAACCCAGGCAACCAGGCACAUCGCUAGAUAAUGAUAUGCAUGAUACUGGCCAGAAAAGAGGUGCAUUACUAGAUUUUUAAAUUAUUAGGAAAGCAAGUCACUGCCUCUUCUUUGUCAGGUAUCUAGUCUUCUUGAGCCUUUCUCUUGACCAAGAAGUGACGGUUAAGCUACAGAAAAAAAUAGUUAUAAAAAAACGAAAGUGACCAGUUCAUGGGUUUGAUAACGAUUUUCUGGAUGGAAAUGGAAGGUUUGAAGGUUUUUUUUUUGUUCCUUCUCUUCGAAGCCCAGGCAGGAGACUUUUCCCUCUUGUUCUAUGCUCGACGGC
rnacentral:sRNA from 1 species